GAUGAACUGAAAAGUACUGAUGCUAUGGAUAAUAUUUAUGCUAAUGUUAAUGCUGACAAUGUGGCAGGAAGGCAACAAUUUGCUAAGAGUAACCUCCUCAGAGGUGCUGUAGUGUGUCUGGGGCUGCUGUGUGUUCUUCUACUGGCUGGGAUCAUAGGCCUUUGUGUCCACUACAACAGAGUGGCAGGUGACUUUGAGGAAGAGCAGACUAAGUUAUUGAGAGAGACAGACCAGCUAAAGACGGAGAAAGACCAGCUACAGACGAAGAGAGACCAGCUACAGACAGAUCAAUUAAUAAGUCAACGUGCAUGAGAAAACAUAGAUAAUAAAACAAACCUGCAACAAAGCAUGC